UUUCACAAGUAUCUGUGCAGGGGGCUAGACUGGCCCUUGAAAGUGCAUACAGGGUCCAUCCCAGAAGCCUUGUAGCUUUGAUCCCCUGAAUGAACAAAGUGUGGACAUGCCAAUACACAUUACUGACAUGUAUGCCCACCUGACCUGCACCCACUCAUGCCCACUCUGCAGGGCAGCGCUCGCCAUUGAAUGACUUCCAGGUGCUCCGGGGCACAGAGCUACAGCACCUGCUACAUGCGGUGGUGCCCGGGCCUUGGCAGGAGGAUGUGGCAGAUGCUGAAGAGUGUGCUGGUCGCUGUGGGCCCUUAAUGGACUGCCGGGCCUUCCACUACAACGUGAGCAGCCAUGGUUGCCAACUGCUGCCAUGGACUCAACACUCGCCCCACACGAGGCUGCGGCGUUCUGGGCGCUGUGACCUCUUCCAGAAGAAAGGUACACGCCCACGCUCCGGAAUGGCCUGGAAGAGAACUUCUGCCGUAACCCUGAUGGCGACCCCGGAGGUCCUUGGUGCUACACAACAGACCCUGCCGUGCGCUUCCAGAGCUGCGGCAUCAAAUCCUGCCGGGAGGCCGCGUGUGUCUGGUGCAAUGGCGAGGA
rnacentral:sRNA from 1 species